rnacentral:ncRNA from 1 species
CAUCUUCGGGGCAGGGUGUAAUUCCCGACCGACGGUAAAUGAGUGUUACAACUCAAAGUCCGUGACCCACUUAUUCAAAGUGGCUGAGCCGGUGCAAUUCCGGGACCGACAGUUAAAGUCUGGAUGGGAGAAGAUG